rnacentral:rRNA from 1 species
UACGUAGGGGGCCAGCGUUGCUCGGAAUUACUGGGCGUAAAGGGUUCGUAGGUGGUGCGGCAAGUUGGAAGUGAAAUCUCUGGGCUUAACCCAGAGGCUGCUUUCAAAACUGCCGUGCUCGAGUGCGAGAGAGGCCAGUGGAAUUGCAGGUGUAGCGGUGAAAUGCGUAGAUAUCUGCAGGAACACCCGUGGCGAAAGCGGCGCGCUGGACCACUACUGACGCUGAGGAACGAAAGCUAGGGGAGCAAACAG